rnacentral:rRNA from 1 species
ACUCAAAUGAAUUGACGGGGGCCCGCACAAGCGGUGGAACAUGUGGUUUAAUUCGACGCAACGCGAAGAACCUUACCUACCCUUGACAUGCUCGGAAUCUGCCAGAAACGGUGGAGUGCCUUCGGGAACCGAGACACAGGUGCUGCAUGGCUGUCGUCAGCUCGUGUCGUGAGAUGUUGGGUUAAGUCCCGUAACGAGCGCAACCCCUGUCCUUAGUUGCCAUCAGGUAAAGCUGGGAACUCUAAGGAGACUGCCGGUGAUAAGCCGGAGGAAGGUGGGGAUGACGUCAAGUCCUCAUGGCCCUUACGGGUAGGGCUACACACGUGUUACAAUGGGCAGUACAGAGGGAAGCCAAACCGCGAGGUGGAGCGAAUCUCUUGAAAGCUGUUCGUAGUCCGGAUUGGAGUCUGCAACUCGACUCCAUGAAGUUGGAAUCGCUAGUAAUCGCGGAUCAGAACGCCGCGGUGAAUACGUUCCCGGGCCUUGUACACACCGCCCGU